ACUUCCUCUGAGCUACCACAGCAUCGAUGACUACGUUCUUCGCAUCUUAUCGUGAUAUCACGUCCGAAGAAAAGAAGAGGCUACGAGCCGAAGAGGCCCGGCAAAUUGCCACAGAAGAGGGCAACUACUAAUGGCUUUGCAUCUUCUGGAUCAUCCAGAGAAUGGAAAGUCAUUCUCGUUACUACUUUGUCACUGUGCUCGCCUAAAUUAUUUGUAGUAAUAUUAGUUGUGAUUUGUUUGUUAGCCGACGUGUAUGUCGGCCUAUUGUUAUGUUGGGCUAAUCCCGAUCUUUGCAAUUAGCGUUGCGAGUCUAAAUUUCGCGUUAUCAAUUAGAGUUGCGAAAAAGUACUGACUUUGGUUUGGAUUAGCUUUACGAUGGAGAGACGACCGCGUUUGCUUUAG
rnacentral:misc_RNA from 1 species